GGGUUGUGAGGUUAAGCGACUAAGCGUACACGGUGGAUGCCCUGGCAGUCAGAGGCGAUGAAGGACGUGCUAAUCUGCGAUAAGCGUCGGUGAGG
rnacentral:rRNA from 1 species